rnacentral:misc_RNA from 1 species
UCUCCGUUGGUGAACCAGCGGAGGGAUCAUUGCUGGAACGCGCCUCGGCGCACCCAGAAACCCUUUGUGAACUUAUACCUUACUGUUGCCUCGGCGCAGGCCGGCCCUCCUCGCGGGGGCCCCUCGUUCCUGACGAGGAGCAGGCUCGCCGGCGGCCAAGUUAACUCUUGUUUUUAUUGUGAAACUCUGAGAAUAAAACAUAAAUGAAUCAAAACUUUCAACAACGGAUCUCUUGGUUCUGGCAUCGAUGAAGAACGCAGC